AUUGAACGCUGGCGGCAGGCCUAACACAUGCAAGUCGAGCGAGCGGCGGACGGGUGAGUAAUGUAUGGGGAUCUGCCCGAUAGAGGGGGAUAACUGCUGGAAACGGUAGAUCAUCCCGCACAUGAGCGGGUGAACCAAGAGGGGAGUAGCUAGUUGGUGAGGGAAUGGCUCACCAAGGGGACGGUCCCUAGCUGGUCUGAGAGGAUGAUCCGCCACACUGGAACGGAGACACGGUCCAGACUCCUACGGGAGGCAGCAGUGGGGAAUAUUGCACAAUGGGCGCAAGCCUGAUGCAGCCAUGCCGCGUGUAUGAAGAAGGCCUUCGGGUUGUAAAGUACUUUCAGCGGGGAGGCGUUACUCGCAGAAGAAGCACCGGCUAACUCCGUGCCAGCAGCCGCGGUAAUAC
rnacentral:rRNA from 1 species